CCCGAACCAAAACGGCAUUGCACAAACAAAGCACUUCUGGACUGGGGAGAAGGACGUGGCCAAGUGACCUGAAAGCCUUUGUGUGCUUCAGACCUGGCCGUGUCCACCCAGCCUGAAUGGCAGUGAGAGGGGAGAAUCCCAAGGUUUGUUCUUUUUCUUGUAUAAACCUUCAGUAUUGUGGUCUCCUUUGUCAGCAACAGCAAUGAGCCUGAGCUGAGCCCCAGCUUCAGACACUACAUUUUGCUCCCCAAAACGCACCGAGGGCUCUGGUGCAAGAAUGGGAAGCCCUGGGGUCAUCACAGCGGCUCUGCAGGGUUUCGGUGAGGUCCCGCAGGAUGGCUUUGGUCAGCCGGUUGCCGUUGAGGGACAACGUGGUGAGGUGAGGAAGGCCACACAGCGCCGGCAGCAGCUGCAGCAGCAUCUCAUCCGUCAGCUCGGUGAAGCACAGCUCCACCGUGUCGAUGUGCUCCGAGCUGUGCUGCAGAUACGACGUGACGCGCUCCAGGUCCUUCAGCGUCAACGGGAUGCCCGAUAAGUCCACCGUGUUGUCCUGGGGCUUCCCCAUCAGCACAGCUUUCAGACUGCGUGGGAAGGAAAGGAGAGAGGUGUUCAUGUGGGGGAUGUCGUCUCGAGUGUGAUUACGUGGUGGGACAACGAGCACGGGUUUGUGAAAGGCAGGUCCUGUGUGACCCCUUCUACGAUUGGGUGACUGCAUGGUGGAUGAAGGAAAGGCUUUUGAUGUAACCUACCUGGGCUUUAGCAAAGCCUUUGACACUGCCUCCCAUAGCACUCUCCUGGGGAAGCUGGCAGCUCAGGGCUUA
rnacentral:lncRNA from 1 species